GUCCACGCCGUAAACUAUGAGUGCUAGACGUUGGGCGGUCACCGCUCAGUGUCGCAGCUAACGCGUUAAGCACUCCGCCUGGGGAGUACGGUCGCAAGAUUAAAACUCAAAGGAAUUGACGGGGGCCCGCACAAGCGGUGGAGCAUGUGGUUUAAUUCGACGCAACGCGAAGAACCUUACCAGGCCUUGACAUGGGAGGUAUGGAUUCCUGAAAGGGAGUCCUUCAGUUCGGCUGGCCUCCACACAGGUGCUGCAUGGCUGUCGU
rnacentral:rRNA from 1 species